AUGAAAAAAAAAAAAGUCAAAAUACUGGAAGUUCCUGAGGGACGUGCAAUCGGAGUUCGCUCGGCUCCACACCGAGGAAGCCUGCCCAGUUGCUACCCACAAAGAAGAUUCCAGGCUCCAGGGCUGCAAACCUGGCCUUCUUCCUCCAGCUCUGAACACAAACACAGACGCGCACACAGCUAUCCAAUAUUUAUGAGGAACCAAUGGAAAUGUCAAGAGAAAGUUGAUCUCCAGGAAGCCUCAUGCAGAUCUCAUGCUCCGUUCUGGAUCCCAGCGAAGUCAGGGGCAAAACUGCUAUUGGCUUUCAUAGGGAUAGGAGAAGGCCAAAGUAAAGAUCUGGGAGACGCAGAGUAUCUGUGCACGGUGCUGGAAGGACUUUCACUGAAGGAAGAAGGCAACCUUUGCAAAGAUCCAGGUGGAGGAACACUGAAGGCCAUGUUCUGCUCAACGCCACGAAGUGGUGGGUUCGGCUGAGUUACAAAGCCAUACUGAGUUCACGUGUCCUCCCCUUGCUAGCAUGUGCUGCUAGGGUUUUUGUGGGCACAACCAAUGUUUUUUGUGCUGAAGCAAAUUAAACUCUUCUGAUUCUUUCCCAGGGAAGUCGAGAAGCCUCCACCCUCUUUGCAAAGGGUGCAGAAUGCAGGGUGAACCUGUAGCCUGAGAUGAACUAGCUAGCCCAAUCUGAAAGAACCAUCACACACUGGUUCGAGGUGUGUGAGCAGAAGGAGACUUGGAGGCAACACUGGUGCCCAGUUUCACCCUUCAGGGCAGGCCUACCUUUAUACUGGCAAAGAUGAAAGCAGGACUUAGGAGUCCUAGGCUCCUAGCCCUAUGCUCUAACUACAGACCACUUGCCAGAGUAAUACAGCUGCUGGCUAUGGAUAGCUACAAGGGAUCCAGCUGCUCACAUCUGUUCUAGUGCAUUCAGGCCCAGUAGCAAAUCCCUUUAGCCUUUGCUCUAAUGCAGCCAUGCCUGCCUCCUGCCUGUGCUGAACCUGCACAGAAGGCAACUUACCCUGCUCUGAGAGCAGACCCAUUUCUUUCGUUCUGCAUCUUCUGAAGACAGGCUGGCUCCCGGUUUGCAGAGUGACUGAUGUUUCAUUCUGAACUUCAGAUCAGCAGUGCUCUGCACAGUGUAUGACCACAGCUUCGGCUCCUCUGAGCUGCUCACGGCACAUCUGUUAAUGAUGAUGAAAAUGCCAAAUGCAGCUUCCUCUCUGUCACUGAAAUGAGAGAAAGCUGUUAGCAAAUCCAGCCCCAGAGAAGGGCUUAA
rnacentral:lncRNA from 1 species